GCUCGGAUGGUGGAACAGGUAGACACGCCGGACUUAAAAUCCUGUGACCAGCAAUGGUCGUACGGGUUCGAUUCCCGUUCCGAGUA
rnacentral:tRNA from 1 species